UGGCAAACUACCUGAAAGGGUAGGACGCAAAGCUACCGGUCUGUCGACACUACAUAUGAGCAUGCUAGUCAUACUGUAAAAGACUCUUAGGUAAUGUCUAUGAUAGCGGAGCUGCCA
rnacentral:ncRNA from 1 species